rnacentral:rRNA from 1 species
UUGACAUCCAGAGAACUUAGCAGAGAUGCUUUGGUGCCUUCGGGAACUCUGAGACAGGUGCUGCAUGGCUGUCGUCAGCUCGUGUUGUGAAAUGUUGGGUUAACGUCCGCAACGAGCGCAACCCUUAUCCUUUGUUGCCAGCGGUUCGGCCGGGAACUCAAAGGAGACUGCCGGUGAUAAACCGGAGGAAGGUGGGGAUGACGUCAAGUCAUCAUGGCCCUUACGGCCAGGGCUACACACGUGCUACAAUGGCGCAUACAAAGAGAAGCGACCUCGCGAGAGCAAGCGGACCUCAUAAAGUGCGUCGUAGUCCGGAUUGGAGUCUGCAACUCGACUCCAUGAAGUCGGAAUCGCUAGUAAUCGUAGAUCAGAAUGCUACGGUGAAUACGUUCCCGGGCCUUGUACACACCGCCCGUCACACCAUGGGAGUGGGUUGCAAAAGAAGUAGGUAGCUUAACCUUCGGGAGGGCGCUUACCACUUUGUGAUUCAUGACUGGGGUGAAGUCGUAACAAGGUAAGCGUACGUGU